rnacentral:rRNA from 1 species
UACGUAGGGCGCAAGCGUUGUCCGGAAUUAUUGGGCGUAAAGAGCUCGUAGGCGGCCUGUUACGUCUGCUGUGAAAUCCUGGGGCUUAACCCCGGGCGUGCAGUGGAUACGGGCAGGCUGGAGGCAGGCAGGGGAGAACGGAAUUCCCGGUGUAGCGGUGAAAUGCGCAGAUAUCGGGAGGAACACCGGUGGCGAAGGCGGUUCUCUGGGCCUGUACUGACGCUGAGACGCGAAAGCGUGGGGAGCGAACAGG